UCGGAACCUAGCGGCGAAUGGGUGAGUAACACGUACUUAAUCUGCCCUUUAGAUUGGAAUACCCAAUGGAAACAUUGGCUAAUGCCGGAUAUGCAGAGAAUCGCAUGAUUCUUUUGUGAAAGGGGCCUUUAAAGCCCCGCUAAAGGAUGAGGGUGCGGAACAUUAGUUAGUUGGUAGGGUAAUGGCCUACCAAGACUAUGAUGUUUAGCCGGGUCGAGAGACUGAACGGCCACAUUGGGACUGAGAUACGGCCCAAACUCCUACGGGAGGCAGCAGUAGGGAAUAUUCCACAAUGAGCGAAAGCUUGAUGGAGCGACACAGCGUGCACGAUGAAGGUCUUCGGAUUGUAAAGUGCUGUUAUAGGGGAAGAACACUUUAAGAAGGAAAUGUCUUAAAGCUGACGGUACCCUGUCAGAAAGCGAUGGCUAACUAUGUGCCAGCAGCCGCGGUAAUACAUAGGUCGCAAGCGUUAUCCGGAAUUAUUGGGCGUAAAGCGUUCGUAGGCUGUUUGUUAAGUCUGGAGUCAAAUCCCGGGGCUCAACCCCGGUCCGCUUUGGAUACUGGCAAACUAGAGUUAGAUAGAGGUAAGCGGAAUUCCAUGUGAAGCGGUGAAAUGCGUAGAUAUAUGGAAGAACACCAAAGGCGAAGGCAGCUUACUGGGUCUACACUGACGCUGAGGGACGAAAGCGUGGGGAGCAAACAGGAUUAGAUACCCUGGUAGUCCACGCCGUAAACGAUGAUCAUUAGUCGGUGGAGAGUUCACUGACGCAGCUAACGCAUUAAAUGAUCCGCCUGAGUAGUAUGCUCGCAAGAGUGAAACUUAAAGGAAUUGACGGGGACCCGCACAAGCGGUGGAGCAUGUGGUUUAAUUUGAAGAUACACGGAGAACCUUACCCACUCUUGACAUC
rnacentral:rRNA from 1 species